GGUAUUUCAUCUGUCCUUACGUUCUGAGUUCAAAUUCUGCUGAGGUUGACUUUGCCUUUAAUCCUUUCGGGGUCAAUAAAUUAAAAACCAAUUGCCCCCUCCCAAAAUUUCAGGCCUUUUCUCUGUUAAUGAAUUAGUUAUAUCUUGAAAAUGUACAAAUAACUGAGAUUAGCAAAAUGUUUUCAAAGAACAUUAUUUAUUUGUGACAGAAAUGUGUUGAUAGACACAAGGGAACGCCUGAAUCCUUUGUUAUAUUCUAUUGUGUGUGUGUGUUUGUGUGU